UCAGAGGUAGGGGUUCUUUUGAAAAUAGAAAUUCUGUAGUCUUCAUCCAAAUACGAAUGGACAAUAUUUCAUUGUAAACAAUUGGCUUGGGACGGAAGGAUCAGUGAACAUAAGCUUUCAGUUCUGACUUUUCCAGUUCUGCAACAAUGGAAUCAGUUGUUGGAUGUCUUCAACUGUCUGUUGAAUCUGCCUGCUGUAGAUACUGCUGUAGGCAGAAUUACCUAGAGACUCAGGACAGCCCACAACUUUCAGGCUACCUGAGAAUAUUCCAUGAGAAACAUGAUGCUGGUUUAGAUAUGGGACAAUAAUCUCAUUAGAGGCUGCAUUUUCUUUUAAAACUUUUAUUAGAACAUAAAGGGUUCCACCUCCUGGAAUUCUAUACAUGUUCUUGUGACUGUUCACAUGUUCUUGAGAACAAUAUGGUGAACACUGAACAGCACUUUCAUAAGAACAUGAAGCUGUUGGCACUGCUCAUGGUGCAUCAUACAGAGAUAGGAAGGUCUGCAGAACAAGAACAAGAAAGUAAAUGCAUAAACAAGAGGAUAGGAAUGAGGGACAAGAAUAAUGGAGAAUAUGCUGAGAAGAGGGAAGAAAGACAAAAUAAUGGAGAGUUAGAAGAUGAAAAGGAGAUGCUGAACACAGUAGUAUGAAAGUCUGAUAGCUGCAGAGAUGAUAUGCAGGCGAGGACAAGACAAGAGAUGAGGAGCAACAUGGAUAUGGACCACAGUAAGGUAGGUAAAGGUUUUCCCCUGACAUUAAGUCUAGUCGUGUCCGACUCUGGGGGUUGGUACUCAUCUCCAUUUCUAAGCCGAAGAUCCAACUUUGUCCAUAGACACCUCCAAGGUCAUGUGGCCGGCAUGACUGCAUGGAGCACCGUUACCUUCCCGCUGGAAUGGUACCUAUUGAUCUAUUCACAUUUGCAUGUUUUCAAACUGCUAGGUUGGCAGAAGCUGGGGUUAACAGCGGAAGCUUACCUCGCUCCACAGAUUCGAACUGCUGACCUUUCAGUCAGCAAGCUCAACAGCUCAAUCAUUUAACCCACUGCGCCAUCAGCGGCUCCAAUGGACCACAGUAUCCAACAGGAAUUAGAAUGAGACAGACCACAAGCAACUGAAGUGAGAUAUUAAAGAAGUGGAAAGUUCCCUUUGAGCUUCAAUAAUGAGGUAUGGCUGAUAUGAGGUCAAAACAACUAACCCUUCUAUAGUGAAGAAUGAGAGAAAACUACUGAUGAAGUCCAACUUCUGUCACUAUCUCAUAUAUCCAGCCAGAUGUGUAAAGAUUAGCUUUUUAUCCAGCGUGGAACAAUAUUCGAAGAAGUACGUCCUGGAAAAUGGAAAGAAAUAAUGGAGGUCAUUAGAGGAAGAAGGGCAAAGAUAAGAAGACCUGGACAGCACUACAAUUACAAACCGAAUGAUGAGUUGUCUAACUGCUGAAAUGUUUGUUUCUCCAAAAUAUUUCUCAGUUUAAGGUUAUUGUUCUUACUUGUUAUCGGUGAUGGUUGUUCAAGAAGUGAAGUUGGUAGACUUUGUGGUUCUUGCUUCAAAAUAUGUGAGGGGAAGUCAUAGGAGGAGGGAGCAAGUUUGUUUUCUGCUGCCCUGGAGACUAGGACGUGGAACAACGGUUACAAACUACAGGAAAGGAGAUUCCACCUGAACAUCAGGAAGAACUUUCUCACUGUGAGAGCUGUUCGGCAGUGGAACUCUCUGUCCCGGAGUGUGGUGGAGGCUCUUUCUUUGAAGGCUUUUAAGCAGAGGCUGGAUGGCCAUCUGCUGGGGAUGCUUUGAUUGUGAUUUUCCUGCUUCUUGGCAGGGGGUUGGAUUGGAUGGCCCAUGAGGUCUCUUCCAACUCUAGGAUUUUAUGAAAACAUCUUGUAUCUAAGCAGGGCACCUGGUGCAUCUGGCUUAUAAUUUAUUUUCAAUAAGCUUAGGUUUUCUGAAUCUUUGUGUGCUUAUUUUUAAACUCAUCAGUUCCCUUUCAGUAGAUUGGAGGAUGAAAACUGGGGUUUCAAAAGCUGUUUUUUUCACUUUACAAAGCUCAAAAAUGGGAUCAGAGAUAAGAGAAGCAAAUUUAGGGAUGAGAUUUUUCACCUUUGUUCUGGUAAAUAAUACAGUGUAAAAUAAAAUGCCAGCUAAGGAUUAACUUAAGUAUAAUAAAUAUCAGCUUAUCAGUGAAAACAUAAGUAAGAAAAUUCAGACAUAAUAAAUAUGAUAUAUGAGUGCUUCCCCUCCCCCCUUAUUUUCCUAUCUCUGCACUGGAUCUUCAGGACAAAUCUUACUGGAUUCUUGCAAUGUUUUAGGUGGACUCAUGGUCUAACUUACUGUUAAACAACUGUAUAUGUUCAUGUUUGGUCAAAUGGUGCAAAAUGAGUUUUCGUGACUGAUCCUUCCACCAAACACCACCAGCACCAUAGUGAAAUAAAACACAGAUCUGCUUUCUGCCAACAGCUGUUGACAAUUUUACCAUAUACAUUUUACCAUCUAUUUCGGCAGGCCUUCCCGGUCAAUUUUCAGUUGUGAAUUUUAAUUUGCAUUUUAUCAGUGGAUUUUAACUUGUAUUUUAACUCUAUGUAGCUUUUUGUAUGUCUUUUAAUAAUGUUUAAUUUCUUGUUUUAAUGAUGUUGUAUGGCAACUCGAGCUACAGGGAGAGGCAGGCAAUAAAUUCUUCUUCAUCACCAUCAUCACAAUCACCCCCAUCAUUAUUAUGUAAAAGCAGGGGGAAAUGAAUUGAACUGGAAAGCAGAUGACAAAAUGAAUAAGGACACAUUAUUUACCCAAGCAAUUUUUUAUUUUAAUGUUGUUAGAGCAGUUCACCCUAUUUACAUUUUAAAACUUAGAAAAUGUUGCAUACUUUGUUAUGGGUC